rnacentral:rRNA from 1 species
GACGAACGCUGGCGGCGUGCUUAACACAUGCAAGUCGAACGGACAGGCCCCUUUGUGGGUCCUCGAGUGUCGAACGGGUGCGUAACACGUGAGUAACCUUCCCUUGCCUUCGGGAUAACUUCAGCUAACUGGGGCUAAUACCGGUUCGGAAUCCUUUCUUCAUGGUCGUGGUUGGAUAGCUUCGGCGGGUUUGGCUGGACUGGCGGCUUAUCUGCUUGUUGGUGGGGUAGUGGCUUACCAAGGCGUUGACGGGUAGCCGGCCUGAGUGGGCGACCGGCCACAGUGGGACUGAGAGAAGGCCCAGACUGCGAAGGGAGGCAGAAGUGGGGAAGAUUGAACAAUGGGCGGAAGGCGGAUGCAGAAAGGCCGCGGGCGGGAUGACGGCCUUCGGGUUGUAAACCGCAUGCAGCAGGGGCGAAGCAUGUGGUGACGGUACCUGAAGAAGAAGCACCGGCUAACUACGUG